rnacentral:piRNA from 1 species
GCUGAACAAGAAGGAGGAGGAGCUCAAAG